rnacentral:rRNA from 1 species
AUACGGAGGAUCCGAGCGUUAUCCGGAUUUAUUGGGUUUAAAGGGUGCGCAGGCGGCCAUUUAAGUCAGCGGUUAAAUCGUGGGGCUCAACCCCAUUCUGCCGUUGAUACUGGGUGGCUUGAUUGCGGUCGAGGUUGGCGGAAUUCGUUGUGUUGCGGUGAAAUGCAUAGAUAUGACGAAGAACACCGAUUGCGUAGGCAGCUGACCAGACCGCAAAUGACGCUCAUGCACGAAAGUGCGGGGAUCGAACAGGAUUAGAUACCCUGGUAGUCCGCACAGUAAACGAUGAAUACUUGUUUUCGGCGAUAUAAUGUCGGAGGCAAAGCGAAAGCGAUAAGUAUUCCACCUGGGGAGUACGCCGGCAACGGUGAAACUUAAAGGAAUUGGCGGGG